ACACUCCUGCGGGAGGCAGCAGUGGGGAAUUUUGGACAAUGGGCGAAAGCCUGAUCCAGCCAUGCUGCGUGCAGGAUGAAGGCCUUCGGGUUGUAAACUGCUUUUGUACGGAACGAAACGGCCUUUUCUAAUAAAGAGGGCUAAUGACGGUACCGUAAGAAUAAGCACCGGCUAACUACGUGCCAGCAGCCGCGGUAAUACGUAGGGUGCAAGCGUUAAUCGGAAUUACUGGGCGUAAAGCGUGCGCAGGCGGUUAUGUAAGACAGUUGUGAAAUCCCCGGGCUCAACCUGGGAACUGCAUCUGUGACUGCAUAGCUAGAGUACGGUAGAGGGGGAUGGAAUUCCGCGUGUAGCAGUGAAAUGCGUAGAUAUGCGGAGGAACACCGAUGGCGAAGGCAAUCCCCUGGACCUGUACUGACGCUCAUGCACGAAAGCGUGGGGAGCAAACAGGAUUAGAAACCCCGGUAGUCCCA
rnacentral:rRNA from 1 species